GGGGAAUAUUGGGCAAUGGACGCAAGUCUGACCCAGCAACGCCGCGUGAAGGAAGAAGGCUUUCGGGUUGUAAACUUCUUUUAAGGGGGAAGAGUAGAAGACGGUACCCCUUGAAUAAGCCACGGCUAACUACGUGCCAGCAGCCGCGGUAAUACGUAGGUGGCAAGCGUUGUCCGGAUUUACUGGGCGUAAAGGGCACGCAGGCGGUUUUUUAAGUCAGAUGUGAAAGGUACCGGCUCAACCGGUGACAUGCAUUUGAAACUGCUUUUCUUGAGUGUCGGAGAGGUAAUCGGAAUUCCUUGUGUAGCGGUGAAAUGCGUAGAUAUAAGGAAGAACACCAGUGGCGAAGGCGGAUUACUGGACGAUAACUGACGGUGAGGCGCGAAAGCGUGGGGAGCAAACA
rnacentral:rRNA from 1 species